rnacentral:rRNA from 1 species
UACGUAGGGCGCAAGCGUUAUCCGGAAUUAUUGGGCGUAAAGAGCUCGUAGGCGGUUUGUCGCGUCGACUGUGAAAACCUGGGGCUUAACUCCGGGCCUGCAGUCGAUACGGGCAAGCUAGAGUUCGGUAGGGGAGACUGGAAUUCCUGGUGUAGCGGUGAAAUGCGCAGAUAUCAGGAGGAACACCGGUGGCGAAGGCGGGUCUCUGGGCCGAUACUGACGCUGAGGAGCGAAAGCGUGGGGAGCGAACAGG